rnacentral:rRNA from 1 species
GGAUGCGAUCAUACCAACGUUAAUGCAAUGGAUCCAAUUAGAACUCUGUAGUUAAGUGUGUUUGAGCUAGAGUAGUACGAGGAUGGAUGACCUCCUAGGAAGUCCUAGUGUUGCACCCU